GAAUUGACUGCUCAUAUGUGUUCGGAUUUGAGAUAUUUCAAUUUCUAUAUGAUCAGAAUAAAAUCUAGUUUAUUUAGAUAUGUUCAUAUCGAUUUUUGGAUUGCUAUGUGAUUUUAUAAUCGAUUUAUGGAUUUAAUUUCGUUUAAUUAUUAAUUAUAUUAAAAUAUUUAUUUAAUAUUUUAAACCCCGCGGGCGUUCGGGGAAAAAUUCGCCAUUAGGCUAUUUGGGACAUUCUGAGCAUUUCUCGUGUUUUAACUUUUUCAAUCCGGAGUACGGUUUACCCCGUAAAUGGUCCGGUACAAUUUUGUUAAUAUUUUUAAGGUUAAUGAUUAUCUGGUUGUAUAAAAAUACGUGAAGCAUAUUCCAGAGAAUAUUCCAAAGCAUAUUCAAGGAAUAUUCCAAAGCAUAUUCGAGGAAUAUUCUCUUAUCUUCUUCUAUAAAUAUCCUUUACCAGUUUAUUUCGCACGUACAAUCAUUUCGCCAGUUCUCUGCACGAAUACCGAGAGAAAACGAACGGGUGUUCUUCGUGUUCUUCAUAAUCAAACAAGGAUUUGAAGGCGUUAUUGGAAUCCGAUGGAGGCGUAUAAAUAGUCAAAACGAAGCUCUCGACGCGUAGAAUCUAUUGUAGUUAUCCAUACCAGUGCUGAAUCGACAGGUUUUUACUAAGAUUUGGACGAGACGUAUACGAUCGAAGACAUUCAGAAGGUCAAACGAUGAUGCAAAGCGAAUGAGAAAUGAAUCGAAGAGACGAAGUCGUAUUACGAAUAAAGUAUAGCCAGAGAUGGUCUAGAGACUAUGAUAUGCAUAGGUUGUGAGUUGGAAAGAUGAGAUUAAGCUGUGUGUGGAAGCGGAUUUAAGAAAAGCUUAAAGAUGAAUUGCAUGAUUGAGAUUGCGAGUAUGGCUAAGGCUAGGCGAGGAGUCAGAGUAUAGAGUAUACAGAGGACAAGUGGAAAUGUUCAGGGAGACUGUCAAGGUUGGUUCUAGAUAGAAUUGUUGAGAUUCAGUUGUAAUCAUAAUUUAAAUAGAUUGGCAGUGAUUCUUCUCAUCGAAGAUGAUCUGAGGUUGUAAGACAUUGUUUAUUUAUAGUGGUUGAUUCUAAUUUCAAUACUGUAACCUGGAUGAGAUCCUGUUUUUAGGGGGUUAAAGUGUUUUCUUUUAAAUCUUUUACUAAAGUUUUCAGGUUUUAAAUCCUUUGAUUUUAUUACCUUUUUCAAAAAUACAGGUUUUCAAAAGUGUUUUAGAAUGAUUUUGUGUGGUGACGUCAGAAUCCAGACCCCCGGAUUCUCGGGCUGUCACAGUUGGUAUCAGAGCAACAGGUUAUAAGUUAUUGAAAUUAGAAUAUAGAUUGUGGUCAUAAGUUUUAUAGAGAAGAAGUUUUCAGUGACCUCAUAUAGAGGUAUUGUGAGACUGUUUGGGGAUAGUCUAGAGAGGUAAUCGGAAUAGAAUCUAGAUAGUUAAUUAAGUUGAGGGUAUAUGUUUAGAUAGAUCAUGGUUCAUAAGUCUAGAAACUUGGUUUCUAGUAUGGGGACUGAUUGAGAUAGUGAUUUGUGAUAAGGGUCAGAGUUAGACCUAGUCAAAAGAGUAUUAAUAGUGAGAUUGAGUUAAGAAUGAUAAAGAUGCAUGGUUUGAAAAUGGUUUAUUGUUUUAACUGAGAUGUGAAAGAAUGGGUGUAGAAUAUGAGAUAUGUUGGAUUGGAAAGAGAGUUUUGUAGACAGGUGAGAAAUGAAUGAUAGAAAGUAUGUGGAAUUGAGUCUAGUUAUCAGAAGUGAUAUUAUGAGUAGGAUAGGACGCUAGUCUUCAACGACGACGCUUCAAGCUAACCGGGAAUUCAUCUGAUUUCAAGAUGAGCCAGCUUCAUUGCGAAUGAUAAUGUCUACAAGGAAAUCUUACGAGGCUAUCACGAGUUAACAUGGAUCGAUUAUCGAGAACGCCGAGAAGAAGACAUACAUUGAACAACGAUUUAUUGGAGCAGAGCAAGAAUUUGAGAAGACCUUGGCAAUAUCUUUUUCCAACAAAAGCUUAUUUUAAUUCUUUUCAUCAUCAUUGAGCCCUUAUACCUUUCCUACAAAAGUUUUAAUAGAUGAGGUUUUCCAGUUCUCGAAUGACGAGAGAACAUUAGUAUUGAUUAUUGAAAUAAGUGGUAUUGAUUCUUGGUGUGUGAUAAAAGUUGUUGUGAGAAGACAAUGAUAUUUCUUGAUAUUCCUUGACAUUCCGUGAUAUUCUUUGAUAUACCUUGAUAUCUCUUGAUAUUCUUUGGUACUUUUUGAGAUUCCUUGAUAUUCCUUCCAUCUGAUUGGGAUGAACAACCCUAUUUAUAGGGGACACAAGGUAUACCUGUCUGUGUGAUAGGAAUUGGAUGGGACGCCAUCACUUGUGUGUGUUGUGAUUACAAGAAGGUUAACAACCUUUAGUAGUGUCUAAUAUGGGCACGCAACACUAAGUUCGUUUGGUCAUAUUGAUCUCUCAGUCACUUUCUUAUUUAAACAUGACCUAUUCUGAAAACCUUUUGCUCCAUUCUAAGUUCUUAAAGAUUGAAUCUAAGAACUGAGCUCUGAAAUAGUGAAAGUUUUAAUACUCUUAUUUGUUUCAAAGUCAAAGGUAUGCCAAGGUCGAACGAAGGUGGAAGGAUGAUAGUACGAAGGGUGUACAUUUUCGUUCUCUUCGCGGAUUCUGAGGACAGAAUCCUUAUAAGGAGGGUAGAUUGUAACAUCCCAGAUUUUCAGAAUUAGUUUAUUAAUAUAGAAAUAAUUUUUGAAUAUUACUAUUGGCUUUAAUUGAUUUCUUCUGAUAAGAUGAACGGUCUGUGUAAUAUGAGUAUAAUUGUGAUGUGAAUUAUAAGGUUUAAACCGACUAUGCAUUCUUCUCCUGUGAUUUCGUAUAUUUUUACGACCCGGAUUUUUCAAAAAUUGUGUAUCGUUAUGAAAGUUAUUUUCUUAGAAAGAAGGAAUAAAGUUUAAUAUUUUAUUCCAGUUUAAGGUAUUUUCAAAAUUUUAUUUUAUAUAAUUGAUUUUAAAGAUUUAAAGGAUGGCUAUCGUUACAUGGCUAAGUGUUGCAUGUGGAAUUGUGAGUUUAAUUAGUUAUGAUAAUUAAAUGUGAAUAUUGCAUGAAUUUGGUGUGAAUUGAUUUUCUGUAAUUGGUAAUUAUACGUGCCAGAACUGUGGGUUCAAUUAUUGAUAUUAUCAGAAUGAGUCAUAUGUUAUUUAAAUAUUUUCAAAUGAUUUAUAUACGGAUAUAUGAAUAUCCUUUCAAAACUCAUUUCAAAUAUUAUUUCUGAAAAUACAGAGAUUUGUUAUGCAAAAGUUAGAUGGUCGAUAUGUGAAGAUAUGUAUUACAUGAUUAAGUGUUACGUGUGUAAUGGUCGCGUAAUUAGUUAUGGUUAUUUUUGAAUAUUAUAUGAAUAUUUGGUAAAUUCUUUGAUAACUAGUUUUUUUAUUUUGAUUGCUUAUAUAUGUUGCAAUCACGAGUUUUCAAUUUUCAUAUUCUCAGAAUAGAAUAUGGAACAUUUGGGUAUUUCCCUAAUAAUUUAUGAGUAGUAUGUGAUAUUUAUAUGAAUAUUUGUGAGGUUUGUGUUAUCUGAGUUAUUGAAUUGACUGCUCAUAUGUGUUCGGAUUUGAGAUAUUUCAAUUUCUAUAUGAUCAGAAUAAAAUCUAGUUUAUUUAGAUAUGUUCAUAUCGAUUUUUGGAUUGCUAUGUGAUUUUAUAAUCGAUUUAUGGAUUUAAUUUCGUUUAAUUAUUAAUUAUAUUAAAAUAUUUAUUUAAUAUUUUAAACCCCGCGGGCGUUCGGGGAAAAAUUCGCCAUUAGGCUAUUUGGGACAUUCUGAGCAUUUCUCGUGUUUUAACUUUUUCAAUCCGGAGUACGGUUUACCCCGUAAAUGGUCCGGUACAAUUUUGUUAAUAUUUUUAAGGUUAAUGAUUAUCUGGUUGUAUAAAAAUACGUGAAGCAUAUUCCAGAGAAUAUUCCAAAGCAUAUUCAAGGAAUAUUCCAAAGCAUAUUCGAGGAAUAUUCUCUUAUCUUCUUCUAUAAAUAUCCUUUACCAGUUUAUUUCGCACGUACAAUCAUUUCGCCAGUUCUCUGCACGAAUACCGAGAGAAAACGAACGGGUGUUCUUCGUGUUCUUCAUAAUCAAACAAGGAUUUGAAGGCGUUAUUGGAAUCCGAUGGAGGCGUAUAAAUAGUCAAAACGAAGCUCUCGACGCGUAGAAUCUAUUGUAGUUAUCCAUACCAGUGCUGAAUCGACAGGUUUUUACUAAGAUUUGGACGAGACGUAUACGAUCGAAGACAUUCAGAAGGUCAAACGAUGAUGCAAAGCGAAUGAGAAAUGAAUCGAAGAGACGAAGUCGUAUUACGAAUAAAGUAUAGCCAGAGAUGGUCUAGAGACUAUGAUAUGCAUAGGUUGUGAGUUGGAAAGAUGAGAUUAAGCUGUGUGUGGAAGCGGAUUUAAGGCAAGUUUUCCUAAAUCUUUCCUCAUAUAUAUAUUGCAUGUUCUGAUUAUUCUGUCCAGAUUAUGGUAUUGCUUAUACUGAAACCCUUCUCAAAUAAACUCUUAUUUCUGAGAAUGAAACCCAUGAUUGUUUUCUACCUUUAAGUCUUUGAAAAGCCAAACACCCAAAUACUCUCAAUUUCUAUUACAAGUAUUCUGAUCCAUUCUUUCCAAUCCUCGAGAUUUUAAAAAUAUCAGCUUUACAAAUUAAUUCGAAGUUCAGACCGUCAUUGAAGCAUGGGUUGCUCAGUGAUAGUUAGAACCUAGAAUGAGUUGGGAUCUUCUUGAUUAUUCAACCCGCCAUUGUCAUGCUGGUUUAGCAGGCUAAAUUCAGUUGCUUAGCCGAUAAUGGAGGAUACUGAAUAGUUAGGAAUUUCCUGAACAAUGAUUUAUCAAAAGACAGACUGUGGUUUAUGAAAUGUUGAUCCUCAAAAGUUGAUUUGGAAUAUUUCUGUUGUUGAUAAUGAUUAUCAUUCUGUUCUGUUGAUUGAAUUGUUUAUUGAUCUAAAUUGUUAGAAUUGGAUUAGUUUUUAUAAAAUAUGUGGACCAGAUUCGUGGUCAGACCAGAUUCGUGGUCAAUUAUAGGCCAAUGUGUGCCUUGGAUCCAGUAUAGAGAGCAGGGCUGUGUGCCAUGUUCGGGGUUAGUGCGUGACUGAUCAGCAGCCUAACCUUUGGUUUUUAAGUAAAAAUGUGAUGAAUCCAAUUCGACAAUUCUUCUAAAAGCUUAAAGAUGAAUUGCAUGAUUGAGAUUGCGAGUAUGGCUAAGGCUAGGCGAGGAGUCAGAGUAUAGAGUAUACAGAGGACAAGUGGAAAUGUUCAGGGAGACUGUCAAGGUUGGUUCUAGAUAGAAUUGUUGAGAUUCAGUUGUAAUCAUAAUUUAAAUAGAUUGGCAGUGAUUCUUCUCAUCGAAGAUGAUCUGAGGUUGUAAGACAUUGUUUAUUUAUAGUGGUUGAUUCUAAUUUCAA